rnacentral:rRNA from 1 species
UGGGGGAUAUUGCACAAUGGGCGAAAGCCUGAUGCAGCGACGCCGCGUGGGGGAUGACGGCCUUCGGGUUGUAAACUUCUUUUGCUCUGAACAAGGCAUGCUAAUGGGUGUGUUGAGUGUAGGGGUUGAUUAGCGCCGGCUAACUACGUGCCAGCAGCCGCGGUAAUACGUAGGGCGCGAGCGUUGUCCGGAAUUAUUGGGCGUAAAGGGCUUGUAGGUGGCUGGUUGCGUCUGUCGUGAAAGCUCAUGGCUUAACUGUGGGUUUGCGGUGGGUACGGGCUGGCUUGAGUGCAGUAGGGGAGGCUGGAAUUCCUGGUGUAGCGGUGGAAUGCGCAGAUAUCAGGAGGAAUACCGGUGGCGAAGGCGGGUCUCUGGGCUGUUACUGACACUGAGGAGCGAAAGCAUGGGGAGCGAACAGG